UACGGAGGGAGCUAGCGUUAUUCGGAAUUACUGGGCGUAAAGCGCACGUAGGCGGCUUUGUAAGUCAGAGGUGAAAGCCUGGAGCUCAACUCCAGAACUGCCUUGAGACUGCAUCGCUUGAAUCCAGGAGAGGUGAGUGGAAUUCCGAGUGUAGAGGUGAAAUUCGUAGAUAUUCGGAAGAACACCAGUGGCGAAGGCGGCUCACUGGACUGGUAUUGACGCUGAGGUGCGAAAGCGUGGGGAGCAAACAGG
rnacentral:rRNA from 1 species